rnacentral:lncRNA from 1 species
AAUAGGGCAAGAGCGGGGGCCGCGGGAGGGGCCUUGCGGCCUCGGCGGCUUCCUCAUCUUCCUCCUCCUCCGGCUCCGCUCCUCCUGCCGCUCUUCCUCCUCAUCUUCCUCAUUUUCUUACUCUACCUCAUCUUCCUCCUCCCCCUGCUCUGCCUUUUCCUCAUCUUCCUCCUCCCCCUCCUGCCGCUCUUCCUCCUCAUCUUCCUCUUCUUUUUGCUCUGCCUCUUCCUCAUCUUCCUCCUUCUCCUGCCGCUCUUCCUCCUCAUCUUCCUCAUCCCCCUGCUCUGCCUCAUCUUCCUCCUCCUCCUGCUGCUCUUCCUCCUCAUCUUCCUCAUCCCCCUGCUCUGCCUCACCUUCCUCUUCCUCCUCCCGCUCUUCCUCUUCCUCCUCCUCCUCCUCCUCAGGGACUGGGUUUGGAGCUGCCUCUGGGCUUGUUUUGGGUGGCCUUCCUCAGCUCCCUCCUCCUCCUCCUCCUCCUCUGGCCCUGCUCCUUGUGCUGCUCUUCCUCCUCCUCUUCCUCAUCUCCCUCCUCUUCCUGCUCUUCCUCCUCCUCCUCCUCCUCCUCCUCUCCCUCGGGGUCUCUGGAGCUGCCCCUGCUCUGGGGGUUUGUGGCCUUCCUCUUCCUCCUCCUCUUCCUCCUCAUCCUCCUCCUGCUGCUCUUCCUCUUCAUCUUCAUCUUCCUCCUCCUCUUCCUCAGGGACUCUCCUUGGAGCUGCCACUGGGCUGGGGGGGUGGCCUUCCUCAUCUUCCUCUUCCUCCUCUUCCUCCUGCUACUCUUCCUCCUCAUCCUCCUCUUUCUCUUCCUUCUUCUUCCUCCUCCCCUUCCUCCUCCUCCUCCUCCUCUUCCUCUUCAUCUUCCUCUUCUUUCUUCCUCCUCCUCCUUCUCCUCUUCCUCCUCCUGCUGCUGCUCUUCCUCCUCCUCCUCCUCCUCCUCUUCCCCAGGGCUGGGUUUGGAGCUGCCCCUGCUCUGGGUGUGUGGCCUUCCUCACCUUCCUCCUCCUCCUCCUGCCCUCCCUCCAAGCCUUCCUCCCCUCCUGCUCCUCCUCUUCCUCAGGGACUGGCUUUGCAGCUCUGGCCUUCAUCUUCCUCCUCCUCCUUCUGCUCUUCCUCUUCCUCCUCUUCCUCCUCCAGGACUUGUUGUGUCUCCCCUCACCCUCCUCUUCCUCCUCCUCCUGCUCUUCCUCUUCCUCCUCUCCCUCAUCUUCAUCCCCCUCUUCCUCCUCCUCUCCCUCCAGGACUUGUGUCUCCCCUCACCUUCCUCCUCCUCCUCUUCUUCCUCCUCCUCCUCUUCCUCAGGGUCUGGAGCUGCCCCUGGGCCUGUUUUCUGUUCCCUGCUCUUCCUCCUCCUCCUCCUCCUCCUCAGGGCCUGUGCCCAACCUGGCUCUGAGUGGCCUUCCUCCUCCUCUUCCUCCUCUUCCUCCUCCUCUUCCUCCUCUUCUUCCUCCUCUUCCUCCUCUCCUUCCUCUUCCUCCUCUCCUUCCUCUUCCUCCUCUUCUUCCUCUUCCUCCUUCUCUUCUUCCUCCUCCUCUUCUUCCUCCUCUUCCUCCUCCUGCUUUUCUCCUUCCUCUUCCUUCCCCUCUUCCUCUUCCUCUUCCCCUUCUUCUUCCAUCUCUUCCUCCUCUUCCUCCUCUUCUUCCUCCUCUUCCUCUUCCUGCUUUUCUCCUCCUUCUUCCUCCUUCUCUUCCUCCUCCUCCUCCUCCUCUUCCCUCCUUUGGAAUCCCGGGCCAGUGGCAGGUUUGGGAUCCCAACUCUUCCCAAAAUCCCCCCUCUGGAAUUCCCCAAUCCCAAAAUCCCUCUGGAAUUCCCCAUCCCAAA